rnacentral:rRNA from 1 species
CUUAACACAUGCAAGUCGAGGGGCAUCAGGAAGAAAGCUUGCUUUCUUUGCUGGCGACCGGCGCACGGGUGAGUAACACGUAUCCAACCUGCCCUUUACUCGGGGAUAGCCUUUCGAAAGAAAGAUUAAUACCCGAUGGCAUAAUGAUUCCGCAUGGUUUCAUUAUUAAAGGAUUCCGGUAAAGGAUGGGGAUGCGUUCCAUUAGGUUGUUGGUGAGGUAACGGCUCACCAAGCCUUCGAUGGAUAGGGGUUCUGAGAGGAAGGUCCCCCACAUUGGAACUGAGACACGGUCCAAACUCCUACGGGAGGCAGCAGUGAGGAAUAUUGGUCAAUGGGCGCUAGCCUGAACCAGCCAAGUAGCGUGAAGGAUGAAGGCUCUAUGGGUCGUAAACUUCUUUUAUAUAAGAAUAAAGUGCAGUAUGUAUACUGUUUUGUAUGUAUUAUAUGAAUAAGGAUCGGCUAACUCCGUGCCAGCAGCCGCGGUAAUACGGAGGAUCCGAGCGUUAUCCGGAUUUAUUGGGUUUAAAGGGAGCGUAGGUGGACUGGUAAGUCAGUUGUGAAAGUUUGCGGCUCAACCGUAAAAUUGCAGUUGAUACUGUCAGUCUUGAGUACAGUAGAGGUGGGCGGAAUUCGUGGUGUAGCGGUGAAAUGCUUAGAUAUCACGAAGAACUCCGAUUGCGAAGGCAGCUCACUGGACUGCAACUGACACUGAUGCUCGAAAGUGUGGGUAUCAAACAGGAUUAGAUACCCUGGUAGUCCACACAGUAAACGAUGAAUACUCGCUGUUUGCGAUAUACAGUAAGCGGCCAAGCGAAAGCAUUAAGUAUUCCACCUGGGGAGUACGCCGGCAACGGUGAAACUCAAAGGAAUUGACGGGGGCCCGCACAAGCGGAGGAACAUGUGGUUUAAUUCGAUGAUACGCGAGGAACCUUACCCGGGCUUAAAUUGCAGUGGAAUGAUGUGGAAACAUGUCAGUGAGCAAUCACCGCUGUGAAGGUGCUGCAUGGUUGUCGUCAGCUCGUGCCGUGAGGUGUCGGCUUAAGUGCCAUAACGAGCGCAACCCUUAUCUUUAGUUACUAACAGGUUAUGCUGAGGACUCUAGAGAGACUGCCGUCGUAAGAUGUGAGGAAGGUGGGGAUGACGUCAAAUCAGCACGGCCCUUACGUCCGGGGCUACACACGUGUUACAAUGGGGGGUACAGAAGGCAGCUAGCGGGUGACCGUAUGCUAAUCCCAAAAGCCUCUCUCAGUUCGGAUCGAAGUCUGCAACCCGACUUCGUGAAGCUGGAUUCGCUAGUAAUCGCGCAUCAGCCACGGCGCGGUGAAUACGUUCCCGGGCCUUGUACACACCGCCCGUCAAGCCAUGGGAGCCGGGGGUACCUGAAGUACGUAACCGCAAGGAUCGUCCUAGGGUAAAACUGGUGACUGGGGCUAAGUCG